ensembl:lncRNA
GUUGGCAUCAUCUCUUCUCAGGUGUUCUGGAUCCAGACUGGAGCUUGUGUAAAUCCUAGUUAUCACGGGAUGUAAAUCCCGUGGCAAAGCAGAGAAACAAAUAGAGACAUAAUUAGCGUAGCUGCUGUUCCAGAAAAGUAAGAUGACUUCCCUAAUCGAUCACGCCAUGCAACACUUUUUGCCUAAAUGCUCUUCCUUUUCCGGUUGCUUGAAACAAAGUGUUUGCUGCCUGCACAGGGCUCCUUCUAACACACUGGCAGCACACCGCUGUUAUAGCGGAUAUAAUAAAACACAAAUAUACUCAAAAAGAGAGCAAAUUUCCUCUUCCACCCCUCAUGUGCACCACAGUCCUUUACAGCGACUCAGUGCCCAAACCAAUUCAACCCCUCGCCAUGCAGGCCGAGGCCUGGCAGGCCAUCCCUGGAGUGUCAGAAUGGGUGUUGAACACAGUAAGAUGAGGUUAUGUACUCCAGUUCGCUCAGAGGGCCCUGUUAUUCAACGAUGUGG